UGCUCCUGCUCAUUCUUCAUCAGUGAGGGGCUGAUGCUGGACACUGUAGGGACCGAGAAUGCAAAGUCACAUACACUACUGUGACUGAUAAUCCAUCUUUUGUUUUCCUAUCUUAGAUGCACUAUUUCCAGGAUGUGGAGUAGCAUUUCCGGACCUACAGCAAGACGUUGGAUGAAGACGGAGAUUUCCAGACCUAUUCCAGAAGAAUUUGGAUGAAGGCACAGCCCCUCGAAUCACGCACAUACACAGACACAUUUGCCCAAAUUCUAGAGGUAACCUCCUUUAGUAUGCCCAGAGGAAGGGCAAUACAGUAGCCAUGGAUUCCCUACAGGUUUCCUCCCCUCUGGAGGUUUUUCCUGUCCUGAGUAUUAGUUACUGUACGCUCUUUGUGAGUGAUGGAGGUUACAAAAAAUCCCUACACAAACAUUUUUAUAUAUAAUAAAUAAAGUUCCCCUUUUUAAACCA